rnacentral:rRNA from 1 species
CCUACGGGAGGCAGCAGUGGGGAAUAUUGCGCAAUGGGCGAAAGCCUGACGCAGCGACGCCGCGUGAGGGAUGAAGGUCUUCGGAUCGUAAACCUCUGUCAGCAGGGAAGAACGGACACUGGUCUAAUCAGCAGUGAAUUGACGGUACCUGCAACGGAAGCACCGGCUAACUCCGUGCCAGCAGCCGCGGUACUACGGAGGGUGCGAGCGUUGAUCGGAAUUACUGGGCGUAAAGCGCUCGUAGGCGGUAUGACAAGUCAAGGGUGAAAUCCCCGGGCUCAACGUGGGAACUGCAUUUGAAACUGGCGAACUGGAGUGUCUGAGAGGAUAGCGGAAUUCCAGGUGUAGGAGUGAAAUGCGUAGAUAUCAGGAGGAACAUCAGUGGCGAAGGCGACUAUCUGGCACAUAACUGAUGCUGAGGAGCGAAAGCGUGGGUAGCAAACAGGAUUAGAUACCCUUGUAGUC